rnacentral:lncRNA from 1 species
AUUCUUUAAGACCCAAAAGCUAUUGAGAAAUCUUGGUCUAAGGAGAAGAAAAGAGAGCCGAAGAUUGAAGCUUGAAGAAGUCCAGCGUUUCAGAUCAGAUGGAGGAGCACUGGCUGGUAAAUGAAGAAGGAGAAGGAGCAACUGAAGAGGCAGUAGACAAUCCAAAAGGAUCUAGUAUAAUGGAAACCAAGUCAGUGGAGGAUCUACUGGAGUGGCAUGGUCAGCUUUGUUGUGCUUUGAUAAGAGGUCAAUUCAGAUUCUCCAAGAAGCAGGCACCAAGACAGAAUUAGAUGUGAAAGAAAUACACUCAGAGAAAUGCUCUUGAAGGAUAAAGAUGCCAAGGAGCAAGAGGAACUGUAAAAACUGAAAUUGUCUGAGUUUUGACAAUUAUAAUAUUUUAUUUCUGAUCAAUCAGAAAAUAGUUUGCCAUAAAAAUUUAUCAUUUCUGAUAUUAGCACAUAAAUUUGUUUUUAUUGUAAUUUCAAAACUAAUGUCAAGACUGAGCAAAUCACAGGAUGGAAGCACCUAUGAGUGCCUGGGACCCUCAAGAUCAUCAAAUCCAGCUCAAAACAUCUGGAUCUACUGGAUAACACUGCUCACCAACACUGGUCAUCUUUGUCUUUACCCAAGGCAAGUAUGCCACCUUAUAAAGGACUUUGC